rnacentral:rRNA from 1 species
UACGAGGGGGGCGAGCGUUGUUCGGAAUUAUUGGGCGUAAAGGGCGCGUAGGCGGUCGGAUAAGUCUUGUGUGAAAUCUUCGGGCUCAACUCGAAGUCUGCACAGGAAACUACUCGUGGCUUGAGGUGUGGGAGAGGUGAAGUGGAAUUCCUGGUGUAGCGGUGAAAUGCGUAGAUAUCAGGAGGAACACCUGUGGCGAAAGCGGCUCACUGGACCACAACUGACGCUGAGGCGCGAAAGCUAGGGGAGCAAACAGG